CUUGCCAGGAAGGCCCGGGGCUUGAGGCCCUGGAAGGCCUGGCCCGUUCAGGAGUCCCGGCUGUUUGGGGGAAUGUCCCACGCCCUGUGGGGAUUUGAGCCGUGUCUCCCGGCCGACUUGGGUGUCCCGGUUGGUGUGUGGUCGGGCCUGGGACGGGCGUGGUGCGGGCGGGAACCGCCGGGUAGCGACCACGUCUCGUCAGGGGGUUCGUGCCUGCUGCUGGGCACGGGAACGGCUCCGGGGGGGUCUUACGGGCGCUGAGGGGAUUCCGCAUCAUGGAGAGGUCAAGGGGAGUUGGUGGCCGUCACCCUUCGUCAGGGCAGGGUAGCAUCAGUGCUCCCGUGCUGGGGUUCCUGGAGAGCCGGCUGGCACGGACAGACUCUUGUGAGGGCAAGUGGCUGAUCGUGCGUCGGAUGGGUCCAGCAAAGGAGAGAAAGCUUCGGUGCGCGCGCGCUCGCCAGGGAAAGGGUGACAGCGGGUGGGACCGAGAGGGAGAGAGAGAGAGGGAGAGAACAAAGGAAGAGAGAGGGUUUCCGCAGGGGCGGUGAGUCCUGGCGGAAGUCCUGAGGCAGAGGAGGUGCCAGGGGUUUGGGUUUCCCGGUCGUGUCGGGGGUGUGGCGCAGGUUGCCCCAGUGGGCCUGAAUGUGCCUCCGUGGGGCACCUUGUUGCCGUGUUGGGGGGCGGGGAGCCGGCCUUGGGGAUCCAUCUUUCGGGCCCUGGGACGUGGGAGAAGAAUGCCGGGGCCUCUCUCUGUGCCCCUGGCACGCCUCUGUGCAGGCCGGGCCUGCACCACCCCCCGCGCCCGUCCCCCAGGCAGGGUCCGUGUGGCUGCAGACACCCAGAGAGAGGGGAGGCUGGGGAGGCUGGGGAGCCGUGGCAGCCCGAUGCAGUGCGGGUCUCCAGGUGGAGGGGCCCUGGUCCCCUGGCGCCAGCGUGGCCCUUCCUCCUUGUGGAAACCCUUGUGGUGUGUGUGCUCUCUCGCCCUGACCCAGGAGAGCAGCAUGGCGGACCCCUGAUCUUGUGGCGUGCCACCGCGCGAGGCCGAGGAGCUCCCGCAGACCAGUGGGCGUGGCGUCCUUGUCGCGGCUCUGUGGAGACCUGGCGAUGGAGAGCAGCAUGGCGGACCCCUGAUCUUGUGGCGUGCCACCGCGCGAGGCCGAGGAGCUCCCGCAGCCCAGUGGGCGUGGCGUCCUUGUCGCGGCUCUGUGGAGACCUGGCGAUGGUGAGCGGCCCCUGUCCUCAGUGGUGGAGAACUCGCCCUUGGGGCGCUCGUCGGUCCGGAGCCCCGGGCCAGCCCCGCUUCUCGCGGGCUUUGGCCCCGGCAGGCCAGCUCCGGGGGCGUGAGGGGGAGCGUCCCGUCCUGCCCAGUGGCUCGUCUGUCUGGGCACGCCCCCAAACGCUGCCGUGAUGGAGCGGGUGGGAUGUCCAGGUGCGGAGGCCGUGAAUUUGCCUUGCGGCGGCGGAGCCCGUGCUCGGAUCGAUGAUGACUCCCUCUAAAGCAUUCCUUGGAAAUCUGAACAAAAUGAGUGAGAACUCACUACCGUCUCCUCAUCGAAACUGAGGUCCGGCACGUGGCGGCCACCGGGGGCUCGGGGGUAGAUGGGCCCUUGGCCUUGGGGCCUCUGUGUGUCAGCAGCCACUCGGGUGAGGUCUGGGAAGGCGGCCGCCUGCCGGGCCCAGGAAGCAUGGGGCCCGUGGCCCGGCGCUGGCCUCGGGGGAGAGGCCGCGUGCCCGAGCGUGCUGGAGAUCCCGGGCGGCCUCCCGCCGGCCUUGGGGGGUUUCGCAAGCCGUCGCGGGGGCGAAAUUUGGCCCGGCCCGCGAGGCAAGUGUGCGGCCCUAGGGCCCCAGGGGGCGUCCUGGCCCAGGCCGGGCGCCCUUCUCAGGAUGCUGUGGGGAGACGGGAUCCCGGCAGGGUAGUGUUCUCUUUCUGCUCUGGGGACCCCUGAGGGCACCUGCUGCAGGGGUCUGUGGUAGCGGGGGCCCUUGGAUCAGGGCCGU
rnacentral:lncRNA from 1 species